rnacentral:precursor_RNA from 15 species
UCCGGCCCUUGUGAUUGCAUGUUCCCAGGUUGAGGUAGUAGGUUGUAUGGUUUAGAAUUACAUCAAGGGAGAUAACUGUACAGCCUCCUAGCUUUCCUUGGGUCUUGCGCAAAGCAACGUGGCGAAA